rnacentral:misc_RNA from 1 species
AAGAAGUGAAGAAUGUUAUGACUACUAGUAAGAAGAAUAAGGGGCUUAUUGUAUUGUGAAGAGCGUAGAACAAGAAGAUGUAGUGAGAUAAACUAGAUGAGGUAGUUAGAGUAGUCAAUAGCUGUUAUAGCAGUUGUUAUAGUUGUUGUAAUAGCUGUUAUAAUUGGUAGGAACAAUUAGCUAGUUGAAGAGAUGUUGUAUAAAAAACCAAAGGAGUUGUAUCAGAGGACUAUCCAA